GGAAAUGUUUUAUUUAAUCCAUUUUUAGAAUAAGGCUGUAACGUUACAAAAUGUGGAAAAAGUCAAGAGGUCUGAAUACUUUGUAUCAUACAGUGAAAAAUAAUUGUCAAAUAAAAAGGUUCAGCCCAGGUUCACAUACUGCACAAAGGUACGGCUGAGAUCCCACCUAGGUCCCCGGCCAAGAGAUGGGCCAGAUACAGGCUGCCCUACAGACCUUACAUGGGGCCAUGGCUGAGAUCCCACCUAGGUCCCCGGCCAAGAGGUGGGCCAGAUACAGGCUGCCCUACAGACCUUACAUGGGGCCAUGGCUGAGUUCCCACCUAGGUCCCCGGCCAAGAGGUGGGCCAGAUACAGGCUGCCCUACAGACCUUACAUGGGGCCAUGGCUGAGUUCCCACCUAGAUCCCCGGCCAAGAGGUGGGCCAGAUACAGGCUGCCCUACAGACCUUACAUGGGGCCAUGGCUGAGAUCCCACCUAGGUCCCCGGCCCAGAGGUGGGCCAGAUACAGGCUGCCCUACAGACCUUACAUGGGGCCAUGGCUGAGAUCCCACCUAGGUCCCCGGCCAAGAGGUGGGCCAGAUACAGGCUGCCCUACAGACCUUACAUGGGGCCAUGGCUGAGAUCCCACCUAGGUCCCCGGCCAAGAGGUGGGCCAGAUACAGGCUGCCCUACAGACCUUAAAUGGGACCACAAUUAACCAGCUAUACAAAAAUCUAAACGCAACGCGCAAGAAUUUCAAAGAUUUUACUGAGUUACAGUUCAUAUGAGGAAAUCAGUCAAUUUAAAUAAAUUCAUUAGGCCCUAAUCUAUGGAUUUCACAUG